AGUUCAGUCUAAGUAGUAGUGCCGCAGGUAACAAUAACUGAGUUUACCUGCUCUCUACUGCUUAAGUUGAGUA
rfam:Enterobius vermicularis genome assembly, scaffold: EVEC_scaffold0006993